UGCAGUGAUGAUGGGAUUAUCUAUCUCGUUAAUCUGAACUUAACCUGAGGACGAAAAAGUCUUCCAUUCAUGCUCAUUCUGAGC
rnacentral:snoRNA from 1 species